CAAACUCAAAACGGAAUGGCACCGCCGCCUCGCCUCCUCCCUCUCCUCCUUGGUCGCCUCCUCGUCUCCGGCGACCUCCUCCGCAACACCGCCCACCUCCGCCGCAUCGUACCCCUCCUCCCUUCCCACCCCCACCUCGCCGCCUCCCUCUCCAGCCUCUACUUCCCGCUCUUCCCCUCCUCAUGCAUCUUCCUCCACAACCUGCUCAUCCGAGCCUCCGCAACCUCCCCGUCUCCUCGCAUCGCCUUCGCCGCCUUCUCCUCCAUUCUCCGCUCUGGUGAUACUCCCGACCGAUUCACCUUCCCUUCCCUCCUCAAGUCGGCGUCCAGGCUCGCCUCUUUCCCGCGCACGGGCGCGCAGGUGCACGCGCAGGCUGUCCGGCGCGGCUUCUUGAUCGACGUCUUUGUCGUCAACGCGCUCCUCGCGAUGUACGCCGCCUUCCGAGACACGGUUUCCAUGCGGGAGGUGUUCGACUCGUGCUCAGGGGUCACCGACGUGGUGUCUUGGAACACGGUGCUCGGUGGCUAUGUGAAGUGCGGGGACAUCGGGAACGCCCGGAUGAUGUUCGAGGAAAUGCCGCAGAGGAAUGGGGUGUCCUGGAGCGCGAUGGUUGGGGCAUACGCCGGUUCUGGCGAGUUGGAUGUGGCCAGGGAAAUGUUCGAUGAGAUGCCGGCCAUUGGGAGGAACAUUGUGACAUGGAACUCGAUGAUAACAGGAUUCGCGCGGCAUGGGCUACUGCCACUGGCUAGGAAGAUGUUUGAUGAGAUGCCGGUACGGAAUCUGGUAUCGUGGAACACAAUGAUCCGGGGGUAUGCAGUGAACGGUGAGAUGGAUGGUGCACGGAAGCUGUUUGAUGUGAUGCCGGAGAAAGAUGUGAUUUCCUGGACGUGCAUGAUUUCUGGGUAUGCACAGGCUGGACGCUACACGGAAACCCUUGAGCUGUUCAGGGAAAUGCAGAGCGAGAGCAGUGCCCGUCCUAAUGAGGUGACCAUGGUGAGCGUGCUCUCAGCAUGUGCACAUUUAACAGCUCUGGAAGAAGGGAGGUGGGCUCACACUUACAUUGACAAGCACAAGAUGGUGCUCGACAAUGACUUCAAUCUCGGUGCUGCUCUCGUUGACAUGUAUGCUAAGUGUGGGAAAACUGACAUGGCUGUCAAAAUCUUCCACUCCUUGGACCAGAAGAAUGUCUCUGCCUGGAAUGCGCUCAUCACUGGGUUGGCAGUGAAUGGUGAUGUUCAGGAUUGCAUUGAUGUGUUUGAGCAGAUGAAGAGGUCAGGAGAGAAACCGAAUGACGUAACGUUCGUUGGUGUGCUGACUGCUUGUGCCCACAGCGGGCUGGUGGAUGAGGGUCGACGGUGCUUUCAGAGCAUGUCAUCAUCUAAUUGUGGAGUGCAGCCAGAGGCAAAGCAUUAUGGCUGCAUGGUUGACAUGUUAGGCCGGGCAGGGCUUCUUGAAGAGGCAGAGGAGCUGAUAAGGAGCAUGCCGAUGGCCCCAGAUGUCAUGAUUUUGGGCGCACUACUAGGUGCCUGUCGAAUGCACAAGAGAUUUGAUGUGGCUGAAAGAGUCCAGAGUGAAAUUAUUGGUCUCAACACACGGCAGGCUGGCUGCCAUGUCUUGAUAUCAGACGUUUAUGCUGCUGCUGGCAAAUGGGGAGAGGCUUUAGAUGCAAGGCGUGUUCUUCAGAAGUGCACAAUCAGGAAAUUGCCAGGAUCAUCCAGCUCGAUGCGAUAGGUUCUUCUCGUAUUUCUUCUAGCAGAACUCCCAUUCUUCUAGCGGUAUAUCUAGGACUACAAAUUUUCCGAGAAUAUUUAGGACUAAUGCCAACGGACACCAUCUUAAAAUGAUGUCAACCUUCAACGUUCAACAGCAUGGAGCCUGUGCUGACACCGCCAAGAGCCAGAGUGGAGUCAGAGAAACAACAACAGGAAUUGGCAUAUUCAUUCGACUUGAAAGAGUACAGCGACAAGGCAAUUUCCAUUAUUCAUUCAGGCUACCAGCCCAG